rnacentral:rRNA from 1 species
UACGGAAGGGGCGAGCGUUGUUCGGAAUCAUUGGGCGUAAAGGGCGCGUAGGUGGUUCUGUAUGUCUACCGUGAAAGCGUACGGCUCAACCGUAUUUUGUCGGUGGAAACUGCAGGACUUGAGGCUGGGAGGGGCUGGUGGAAUUCCCUGUGUAGCGGUGAAAUGCGUAGAGAUGGGGGAGAACACUCGUGGCGAAGGCGGCCAGCUAGACCAGUUCUGACACUGAGGCGCGACAGCGUGGGGAGCAAACAGG